UACAGGGGGGGCAAGCGUUGUUCGGAAUUACUGGGCGUAAAGGGCUCGUAGGCGGCCAACUAAGUCACACGUGAAAUCCCCAGGCUUAACCUGGGAACUGCGUGUGAUACUGGAUGGCUUGAAUCCGGGAGAGGGAUGCGGAAUUCCAGGUGUAGCGGUGAAAUGCGUAGAUAUCUGGAGGAACACCGGUGGCGAAGGCGGCGUUCUGGACUGCUACUGACACUGAGGAACGAAAGCCAGGGGAGCAAACGGG
rnacentral:rRNA from 1 species